UACCGGGACAUAACGUCGGGAAACCGGCGCUAAUAUCCCAUGAGGUACUUCGGUAUCAAAGCUUCGGCGGUAGAGGAUGAGCCUGCGUCUGAUUAGCUAGUUGGUGAGGUAAUGGCUCACCAAGGCGACGAUCAGUAGCUGGUCUGAGAGGACGAUCGGCCACACUGGAACUGAGACACGGUCCAGACUCCUACGGGAGGCAGCAGUGAGGAAUAUUGGUCAAUGGGGGAAACCCUGAACCAGCGACGCCGCGUGUGGGACGAAGGGGCUCUGCCCUGUAAACCACUGUUGAGAGGGAAGAAAAGCUUUUGAAAAGCUGGG
rnacentral:rRNA from 1 species